rnacentral:lncRNA from 1 species
UCUGGGCCUUGACUGCACACGCUGACACGCACCACCACUACAGCAAAAGCGGCGGCGGCGCCGCCGGCUGAGCGUGUACCGGCGGCGGGGCACAAGGCGAUGAUGGCUGCCGGCGACGAGGGCGAGUGAAGGAGGGGAGGUCGCCGGAAAAAAGCCGGUACUUACUCCUCCUCUUCUUGGCGGCUGGCCCUGCUGUUUUUUUUUUGUUUGUUUGUUUUUUUCCUGUAGCUUUGAUUUCACAGGAAGCGGAUUGAUUUCGUUUGGGGAUCCCUAGUUGAUAACUGGUGAAUCGAUGGGCUGGAGUAAAUAAUUGCCUCAUCAAAAAUCAGGGCUCAAAUCUCUCUGUAUUGUUACAUACUCUGUGCUAAGCUCCCCAAAAAUGGCCCAUCUCGAAUUAACUAUUAUCAGGGUCGUUGUGGCAAUUAGCUGGGGGAAGGGUAAAAGGGAGAAGUGAACCAGACAAGUUCGAUGGAUAUCCAGAGUUAGACCCACUUACAUCCCUCCCUGUCUGCAUAUAAUUAUUGGAAUUCUUGAAUUAGUUGGUAGUGCAGAUCAAGGUAAUUUCAUAUGCCAUGCAAAUGUGAUUUUUGCAUGACAUGUACUGUGGAAUUUAUUGACAAACUUCUAUAUUUAUCAAAAAAAAAACUUCUUAAAAUAGAAAACCAACCAUCGAGACAGAUAGACAAAUAAGUCAAACAACAGUUUGCUACAUGACAUAAAAGAUUAAUUACAAAACCAGGAUACAAUCAAACUCUGCAGAUUAAGCAUAAACAAGAUAAACAGACCAGGAUUGAGCUUACAUCUGCAUAGCUGCAUAUGCUGAACCUCAGCUAAAAGUAGCUAACAUGAUAGAAAAAAUAGAAAUAUGUCUUCUUUCCAAAACAAAAUAUAGAAAUAUGCAUGCCACCAAACGAUUUGAUUUAUCUGUGUGAUUCGUGGCAGUUACUUAUUUGAACGGACCAUCAGUCAGUCAACUUCAUCUGACCCAUAUAGACAUUCUGACUUAUUCAUUGACUCAAUCUCAGGCCACACCUCAAUUUCCAAGCUUGGACGACGUUUCCUUUCACUAUUGCUGCAUCUCAGGCCCAGUGAAACCAUCUUUACAGCAUCCUGUAUAGACGUG